rnacentral:rRNA from 1 species
GACGAACGCUGGCGGCGUGCUUAACACAUGCAAGUCGAACGGAAAGGCCCUGCUUUGGUGGGGUGCUCGAGUGGCGAACGGGUGAGUAACACGUGAGUAACCUGCCCUUGACUGUGGGAUAACUUCAGGAAACUGGGGCUAAUACCGGAUAGGAGCUCCUGCUGCAUGGUGGGGGUUGGAAAGUUUCGGCGGUUGGGGAUGGACUCGCGGCUUAUCAGCUUGUUGGUGGGGUAGUGGCUUACCAAGGCUUUGACGGGUAGCCGGCCUGAGAGGGUGACCGGCCACAUUGGGACGGAGCUACGGCCCAGACUCCUCCGGUAGGCAGCGGUGGGGAAUAUUGCCCAAUGGUCGGAAGCCUGAUGCAGCAACGCCGCGUGCGGGAUGUCGGCCUUCGGGUUGUAAACCGCUUUCGCCUGUGCCGAAGCGUGAGUGACGGUAAUGGGUAAAGAAGCACCGGCUAACUACGUG